GGUAGCGUGGCCGAGCGGUUCUAAGGCGCUGGAUUAAGGGCUCCAGUCUCUUCGGGGGCGUGGGUUCGAAUCCCACCGCUGCCA